AUGUCGGCUAGGAUUAUAUUUGACAUGUUAUUUAAUACAUUCUUGAGAAAUAAAAAGUUUUUCCGGGAACAUUUAUAAGUUUCUUAAUGAUAAUCUUUAGAUAUUAAGGAGGAAUUCUCAUACGAAUCUUUAAAGAUGUUUAAUUAAGGAGGGAAUGAUAAAUGUGGAAUGGUCGAUUAUAUUAUCUGGAAGGAGGCGACUUAUUGCAAAUAGAUGACUAAAUUUGGAAUGGCUUGAUUGAAGAUUUUAUUACAAAUAGUACAAGUGGUUUAAAAGACGAGAAAUGUAUCGGAGUUAAAUGAAAUAUUAGAAGGGCGAGGAAGAUGAGGAUAAGAGAAGGAGAAGGGGGUCUUUCGAAGGAUUUCUGGUGGAGAGGAGAGC